AUUUAUUUCUACAUUUCUCACUCGUCCCUCGUGUGUGAAUCGUCGUUUGUUCGCGUAUUUCGGUGCAGAUUUGGCGCGAUUAAUUUUAUUCAUCGAAUUUUCGUCUCGUCCGAAAUAUUAAAUUAAAAACAAUAAAUCAAUUAAACUAUCGAUAUAACGAUCUGUUUUAGUUUCAAUUUUCGUAGUACUUGGAAUACUUCAACCGGUGGUAAAUUUUUUGUGUUUACAGUGCUGUUUUGCAUUAACUAUCGUAUAUACCUAUAUCUAACUCGUGUGAACUUUUAUUGUGAUUGGUGCGGUGCUGUGUGAACUUGAAGAACUUUUAUUUAUUCAGAAACUGAGGUUUCAUUGUGUUCUGUAUUCGACAAUAAAUUGCGGAGCAAGAUCAAAUCGAUUUUUUCCAAGGACAUUUGACCAAAAUUGAGCAACUAAAAAUUUUCCAAAAAUCGAAAAAAUAUGCAGAACUUGAUCCGAUGGUGUAUUUUUGGAGCAGUCAGGAGUAGGUAGGUAUAUCAGAUG